UAAGGUACCUCGGGGGGCCUCUGGCUGAGAUGUGCAUCGCACGGACCCGUUGAACCUGAACCGGUUAACACCGGCGGAGGGAAGGUCUGGACAUCACUC
rnacentral:ncRNA from 2 species